GUGUCAGCAGCCGCGGUAAAACGUAGGUGGCAAGCGUUAUCCGGAUUGACUGGGCGUAAAGGGUGUGCAGGCGGGUGGUCAAGUGGUGUAUGAAAGGGCUGGGCUUAACUCAGCCAUGCUAUGCCAGACUGACCGCCUCGAGGAUGAAGCAGGCGCGUGGAAUUCCGGGUGUAGUGGUGAAAUGCGUAGAGAUCCGGAGGAACCUCAGAGGCGAAGGCGGCGCGCUGGCUCAAUCCUGACGCUCAGACACGACAGCAUGGGGAGCGAACGGGAUUAGAUACCCCAGUAGUCC
rnacentral:rRNA from 1 species